CUGGAUUUGUUGAAUCAUCCUUGCUUUUCUAGCAAGUGUCAGGAAUGUGUAGGUCCCUGAUUUCGGUCAAGUUUAGAGGAAUGUGUCUAUUGCUUUGCAAUCAAGUCUCGAGGCUAACAUUAAAAUCAACGCGAUUAGCAAUUGUUACAUUAGUUGAAAAGAUCAACUGAGAAAAGACCCCAAAGAUUGGAGGAUGGUGAACACCGAUCUGUCCAGCAUUGAGUUGUUGGUGUCCCUCCAAUGCCUGGAAAACCAAUCCACAGACAGGCUGGCCAGGCCUGGUAGCAAAACUGGUAAGAGUCUUUGGUGAUUUCGGACAACAAUUGACAUCUGACCCCUCCGAGAUGGUAGAUGUAUUGAACUUCUGAUAUGAUGUCCAUACAUAAGAGGAAGCAGCAAUUUGCUUAGUCUCUUGCAAGAGUGGUAAUUGAGAAAGAUCCCUCAAUUAAUUCCAACAGUUUAUGUGUAAUGAAGAUUCAGACUCUGACCAUGGACCUCCUGUAGAUCCCUCCAUGGAUGACACCCCUUAUGAGAAUGGAUGAUAUACCCAUGUCUACGGGUUCCACUCCCCAUGGGUCGGACAGUGAGUUCUGGGAAAAAGUUGGAGGUUGUGGACUUCUGAGG